UUUACCCUGGAGUGUUUGUCAGCAGGAUUUAAGUCCCUGAGCCGAUAAGCAAUACCCUAGGGUUAGUAUUCGAUGACUAUUGAGCAAGCUCGGCUCGUACCGAGAAGCCUACGGCCACCUUUGCUGACCCGCCUUGAACCAAAUGGUUCAAGGGCCACAAUCCUCAACGGCACUCUGGGGUAUCC
rfam:Vibrio genomosp. F10 strain 9CSC122 9CSC122_contig_519, whole genome shotgun sequence.